GUGAGUCAUCGAAUCUUUGAACGCACCUUGCACUCCUUGGUAUUCCGAGGAGUAUGCCUGUUUGAGUGUCAUUAAAUUCUCAAGCUUCAACCUUGUUGUAAUGACUUGGUUUGUUGUUUGGACUUGAGGGUUGCCGCGAGUUCUUGGACUUCUGAACGGCUCCCUUUAAAUGAAUCGGUCGGGCUUUCGUGUGGCUUGUCCCUUGGCGUUGUAUCAACCUCGUCGCUGGAUGGCUCGCGAGCUUUAGCGCCCCUCCAAGACCAGCCUCUGGAGUGGCGGUCAACUUCAAUUUGUGAUCUG
rnacentral:misc_RNA from 1 species